AGAGUUUGAUCCUGGCUCAGGAUAAACCCCUGGCGGCGCACAUAAGACAUGCAAGUCGAACGGAUGACUAUUUAUUCUUUACGUUUAAAUAGAAGUUAGUGGCGGACUGGUGAGUAACGCGUGAGCAACCUACCUAUAAAAGGGGAAUAACAGGGAGAAAUCUUUGCUAAUACCGCAUAAGCUGAUAGGAUCACAUGAUCUAGUCAGAAAAGGAGUAAUCCGAUUAUAGAUGGGCUCGCGUCCGAUUAGCUAGUUGGUGAGAUAACAGCCCACCAAGGCAACGAUCGGUAGCCGGACUGAGAGGUUGAACGGCCACAUUGGGACUGAGAUACGGCCCAGACUCCUACGGGAGGCAGCAGUCGGGAAUAUUGCGCAAUGGAGGAAACUCUGACGCAGUGACGCCGCGUAUAGGAAGAAGGUUUUCGGAUUGUAAACUAUUGUCGUUAGGGAAGAGAAAGGACGGUACCUAAGGAGGAAGCCCCGGCUAACUAUGUGCCAGCAGCCGCGGUAAUACAUAGGGGGCGAGCGUUAUCCGGAAUUAUUGGGUGUAAAGGGUGCGUAGACGGGAAAUUAAGUUAGUAGUGAAAUCCCUUGGCUUAACUGAGGAAUUGCUACUAAGACUGGUUUUCUUGAGUACUGGAGAGGAAAGUGGAAUUCCUAGUGUAGCGGUGAAAUGCGUAGAUAUUAGGGAGGAACACCAGUGGCGAAGGCGACUUUCUGGACAGAAAUUUGACGUUGAGGCACGAAAGUGUGGGGAGCAAACAGGAUUAGAUACCCUGGUAGUCCCCACCGUAGACGAUGGAUACUAGGUGUAGGGAGUUAAAUCUUCUGUGCCCCCCGCAAACGCAAUAAGUAUCCCACCUGGGGAGUACGGCCGCAAGGUUGAAACUCAAAGGAAUUGACGGGGGCCCGCACAAGCAGUGGAGUAUGUGGUUUAAUUCGAAGCAACGCGAAGAACCUUACCAGGGCUUGACAUAUAUUUGAAUAGAUUAGAGAUAAUCUAGUUCUUCGGAACAGAUAUACAGGUGGUGCAUGGUUGUCGUCAGCUCGUGUCGUGAGAUGUUGGGUUAAGUCCCGCAACGAGCGCAACCCCUAUAGUUAGUUACCAGCACGUAAGGGUGGGAACUCUAGCUAGACUGCCGCAGAUGAUGCGGAGGAAGGUGGGGACGACGUCAAAUCAUCAUGCCCUUUAUGUCCUGGGCUACACACGUACUACAAUGGCUGUAACAGAGGGAAGCAAAAUCGCGAGAUGGAGCAAAACCCAAAAAGCAGUCUCAGUUCGGAUUGAAGGCUGAAAUUCGCCUUUAUGAAGCCGGAAUUGCUAGUAAUGGCAGGUCAGCAUACUGCCGUGAAUACGUUCCCGGGCCUUGUACACACCGCCCGUCACACCAUGAGAGUUGGAAAUACCCGAAGCCUGUGAGCUAACUUUUAGAGGCAGCAGUCGAAUUUAGGGCCAAUGAUUGGGGUGAAGUCGUAACAAGGUAGCCGUAGGAGAACCUGCGGCUGGAUCACCUCCUUUCU
rnacentral:rRNA from 1 species